ACAGCUUCUGUGUAGUUUUCUCUCUUGGGAGCUCGGGCACCAUGCUGUGAGAAGGCCCAGGCCUCAGCUCAGCUCCUACAGCCAGCCAGUGAAUACGUCAUGGAAGAACAUAGAUCCAAAAGGCCCCAGGUGAGCUGCCCCAGCUGAUGCCGUAUGAGACACAGGUAAAUACCUAGGAUUGGAAUGGUUGGAUUCUAAGGGCGGUUGAAUGUGAAGGUCCUACAAAUGUGGUCAUGUGGUGUUUUAAACUGUCUAUAACCAACUGCUACGACGUCUGCACAAACCCAGCCCGGAGGUCCCUGAGUGCCAAAGCUGCCCUUCAGGACUCGCGUCCGCUACCUGCAAAGUCCCGAGCGGAUCCUACCCCUGCGGCUGCUGCGACAGAGCUGCUGCCUCACCUGAGGCUUCCACGAACAGCAGGUAUCCAUGAGCCGUGCUGUGAAGGAACACAGGGAGGUCUGGCCCUCUGUGUUUCUGCCCUCGGGGCCCAUCUGGGGUCCCCACUGGCCCGUGCACCAGCCGUUGCCCCCACCCCGCUGGGGCUGCUGCCACACCGCUGCUCCCAGGCUGGGGGGACUGAGCCCUCCCCUUCAGCUGGCGUCCUCCCACUCCCACCAA